rnacentral:misc_RNA from 1 species
GGAAGCAAAAGUCGUAACAAGGUUUCCGUAGGUGAACCUGCGGAAGGAUCAUUACCAAAAGAUAAUCUUUCAACAUCUGAAAGAUCUUACCUUUGUGCUGGCUUUGACAGUUUUGUACUUUUGGGGCUUUAAAAUGGUUCAGUUAGUAAAAGAAGGGGAGUAAUCCCUUUUUCAUUGCUGCUGGAUCGGCCCCAAAAAAUCAUAUCAUCCUUAUAAUUUUUUCUGAUUAAUUAACACAUGAUUUUAAUAAUCUGUUUAAAACAACUUUCAACAACGGAUCUCUUGGUUCUC